rnacentral:lncRNA from 1 species
AUUACCAGUGAAGACAAUGUAAUGCAGAAGACACUGAGGAGGAAAAUAAGACAAAACAUUGGCCCCCAUGUAUUAGGGUAAUUGCCAUUAGAUCACCUGUGUUGUAUACGGGGUCACUGUUUAUUAUUACUGCUGUAAAACCGGCUACAAUUGGAAGAGAAAAUGAUCUAGAGCAUACUCUUUCUUUGAAUCCCUGAAGUUGGUGUCUGUAAGUUUCAGGCAGAAAUUUGACCAUGACUAGCAAACUUAUGUCCUUGUAGAUCAGGACGGUCAAAAUGGAACAAUUGUUAGUGAAAAACGGAUUGUUCAAGUGAAAGCUAAAUGUGACCCUUACAUACUUGAGCAUACAUAGACAUGAAAUGAAAAUUGGAGAGACUGUGUUACCCUUUCGCAUUCACCCUGGCAGUGAUACCUGUGAUGGCUGUGACCCACAGCAGGUCAGAGCUCACUUUCACCUUGAUAAGAAAGGUGAAUGUUUGUUGGUCCAACACUAAGAAGAAAAAGAUUUGGAAAUAAGAAAAUAAUUUUAAAAAUGUGAGUAAAAUAUGGUUUACAGAAUACAGACUAUGAAGAUGAAUAGACACUAAAGCUUCCAAAAUAUAAAAAUAGAGCUGGAAAAUGUAGUGAGAAGAUUGGAAGUGAAGGAACUUUCCAAAAAGAUGAUGCUUCUGCAUCUAUUCAUUCUGAAAUUACUGACAGCAACAAAGGUCAGAAGACGUUGAAGAAGAUGGGUUGGAAAAAAGGAGAUGGACUGAGGAAGAUGAUGGGGGAAUGAAAACUCCAAUUUAGUGUCAAGUUCACCAACACACAUAGGCUCGGAGACAGGAAAUCCAUCCUCAAUUGAAGAUGUUCACCUUCUCCGAAACAAAACAAACAAACAACAACAACAACAAAAAACUGGGACAAAGCAUGAGAAAGGUUUGCUGAAAAGUUCCCAGAAACUAAACCUUGAAAAGAUGACCCAGGAACCAUGCCUUGAGUAAAAGGGACUGUAGAGUGA